rnacentral:lncRNA from 1 species
UUUUUUUCUUUUUUUUUUGUUUUUUGAGAUGCUUAUGGUUUGCAAUCCGGCUGUGAUAAUCAAAAUCAUCACUUCCGAUCUCGAUCUAACGGAUUGCAAAACCGGUGGUGAUGACGGUUACAGGGCCGACAGUGAUAGCCCAAUCUGUAGUAAUGUUUUAGGCCAUAUUAUACUGCUAUAACUUUUAUGAAAUAAUUGAUGUGAUCGCUUAGAUUUCAGGCUAUAUCUAUUGGACUUGUGUUUGUUCCCGUUGCAACGCAUGGGCAUAUUUGCUAGUAGAUAUAUAAAUUGUCAUCAACCUGCACAGAAAUACAGAUCAGAGAAAUUUAACCCUGCCCGUUCAUGCUUGGAUGCGCAACCUGCACAUAAAAUUUGUGUGUUUUUUUUAUAAAAAAUUUUAGUACUUGGUUCAUCGCUUGACAUUUGAAAGUGACAAUCAAGGCGAGAAAAAAAGAUCCACCAGUAAUUCACAGGUGCACCACAACAGGAGGCAUGUCACGAUUUUGUUAAACUGAAUUUCUGUUUUGAUAGGUAAAAAUACAGCAAAUUUAGAUUUCCCUAAUUAUAAAUUCCAUUUUAUAUUUGUCUCCAAUGAGUAAAUCAAAUACGGACACGGAAUAUUCCGUUUCGUGCUGGGGUGGGGUACUGGCCCCAUCAUCCUCGGCAUCCACUGCAGCACCCUGCUUGGCGCCACACAACGUACACUGGCGCCGAUACGCUCAUACGCACGCCACCUCCUCCUCCCUCCUCCCAUGGCGACGGUCGCCACGCACUCCGGCUCCCCUCCGCCGCCGCCUCCUCGCCUAUACCGCCGCCACCGCGCGGCCUUCCCUGCCGGAGCCCGGCGGUCCGCCGCCGCUGCACGCGGUCGCAUUAGGAGGUUAGUUAUUUUUUUUUCCUGGAGCUUCUUUUAGCCGGAUCAGAGUCUGAACUCUAGCUGUUCUGUAGAUUCAUGAAAUUUCUUGCAAAUUUGAGCAAAUUAUGAUAUUUGAGUAACCGCCUCGAUGGAUUUAGGGCUGGCUUUAGGUGAAACUGUUAGCUGCAAUGCGAUUGUUACAUUAAAUAUUCUGUGUUUCUUGCAAGCAUAUACAGUUCGCGCAACUUAUCCUGCUUGGUCUCUGGGACUGCAAAGGCAUCAGUGUCCGGGGCAGAAACUUCUUCAGGUGGGGAAGAUGUAAAUGAGAUUAUUGGUAAAGUGGAAGCAGUAGAAUCUACCACCCCGGGUGCUUCAUUCCUUGCAAAAGUGGCAAUUGCUAUCGGUAUUGCGGCCACGGUCACUGUAAUUUCACUAGUCAGGAAGCAGCCUUCAUCAGGCCCAUCUUUCAGUCUGCCACAAAUAGUUGAUGCCUCCACGCAGUCUGAUGCAGCAGCAGCAACCCUUGGAUAUUCAUUUUCUGCAUUUGGGAAGAAAGUCAUACUUCCAGAGUACACACCAGGGUAUGUGAAUUUGGCUAUCUGCAUGUUAUCAUUCUGCUUUUCAUGCUUCUAUUUUUUUCAUGACAACUUUUAGAUACACUUCACUGAUGGGACUGCCAAAUUAAGUCAAUAAAUGUUCCUCCUUGGAGAGCUUUUAACCACAGGUCAUCAAAUUAUAUCAGCAAUAAUAUGUCAAUUGCAUUUGCUACCAAAUGCUAAACAACGUGCACAGCCUCUAGGGGAAAGUUUCUCUGAAAAAAAUAAAUUUUCAAGUCUAUCCAUGGUAUCAUGCUAACUGAGGAUUGUUGAAAGUUCACGGACCACAUAGGCUGAUUUCAAAAAAUAAAUGCAAAUAUGUGAUCUAUUUGGUACCUGUAAUGGAAGCCUACCUGUAACUUUUUUGCUCCAUUUUUCUAAUAUACUGUCUUGCUGAAAUUCUUCAGGUGGGUCUACUUUUGUUUGCUCAUGGCUGCUGGAUUUGGACUACUUAUCAGUGAAGAAGCUUUAAAUGUUUGGGUCUGUCCUUUGCACUGGUACCUUCAAUAUGACCACUCUCAACUCAACUAAGUUUCUAGCUUUAUUUUCCACAAGUAGUCAGACUUCAAACACAAUUUUAUAUAUAAGCAUUCAUCAACCAUUUAUUUGUGUUGAGAAGCAUUUUUCCCUUCAUGAUGUAGGCUGGAAUUUCUUUAUCACGUACACUUUCAUUGGAUGGAACCUGGCAAUCUCUCGUUAACUCGUUCUCGGCGAAUGCACCUUAUAUAGUUUCUACAGUGCUAUGGAUUUACUGGUUCGUGCUCGUGCAUCCUCUGUCCAUGAUCUGUAGACAGUUGUUCCUCUGUUAGUGAGUAGUGAAUGCUACUAGUUAAAUUUUUUAACUUUUUCAUUCACGUAGGGGUGUUUGUCUCAGCGAUAUGAUCCCGUUCUUUCUGGGGAAGCUUUUUAGACAAACUAAAGCAUCUGAAGGCAUAAGCAGCAAGGUGCGAAGAAGGGAUUUGUCUCACUUUAUAAUACACUUGUUAGUUCCUCAGUUUUAUAUUAUAAAUAUCAUUUUUUUGGCAAAACUAUGACAUGAAGUAUUGCUACCUUACUGAUAUCUAAUCACAGUUGUCCUUUUAGAUUGGAAUUGGCAAGGACAAAGCACUAAGCAUAUCACGAGCAGUCCAAAAGUACGGGAACCUAAUUGGCUUUGGUAUACAUCUGAACCUUCGCAUAAGUUUUGCAAAGCAUUUGUAGCCCUGAGUGAAAGAAAAUGGGAAACUCUGUAGAGCAUUGGCAUUGCAUAUGCACUCAACACUGAUGUUCUAAAGACAAACUAGAUGGUUAAAUUUGCUUGUCACUUAAAUUGAUGAUGACUAUGAUGUUUGCUGCAGUUGAGAGAUUUUCGAUUGGCGUACGGAAUAUCACAGCAUUUCUAGCUGGCGCAUUGGUCAGUGAACUUUUUUUUAAAAAAAAUUCUACGACUUAACAGAUAUUGGAGCACAUAUUGCACACAAAUGAUUUGCCAAUGACAUUCUUUGGCCAUUAUAAACAGGGUAUACCAGCAGACUGUUACUUCGCCGGAGUUUGUUUCGGGUGCCUGUUUACUCUUCCUAUUCAGGUAAACCGACCUUCAGAUCAUGGCAAUCUUGUUUUUGUUCUUCCUUUGCAGCUUAUAAGUCGGGCUUAGCUAGUACUCCCUCAGUCCCAAAUUGUAGGUCAUUUUGCCAAAUCUAGAUUCAUAACUAGUAUAUAUCUAGAUAUAGUGUAUAUCUAGAUGCAUAGCAAAAAUUAUGGAUCUAGAAAUGUCAAAACGAAGAACGGAGGGAGUACUAACAUUAACAAGAACCUGUUGACUUUUGUUCUGUGACAAAACAACUGGCGCUUUCAUGCAGUUAGCACUUGGGUUUGUCCUCCGUGAAAGGCCUGUCAUCGCUCUGGCAAGCGUCGCAGCUGCCGUGGUACCUACCUCUCUGUCUUCCCCGCCCUUUCCAGAACUUCUCUCUCCCCCCUGUUUUCUGAUCAGGCCAUGCUUGCUCUGCAAUGCAACCAGGGCGUCUGCACGGCGUUCCCUUACGCAGCCGCGGCGUGCACGGCUCUCUUCUUCUACCUCCGCCGGCCCGACUCCAGCAGCUGAGACUGAGAACGUGCUGAUCCUUUUCGUGGCGGAUCGGCAACUCCCGGCUCCGUGCCUUUUUUUUCACUACCCCUGUGCCAUCUAGCUGACGGGACAUUCCUGUUUUUUUUGGGUACUUAGACAGUUGCACUGCAUCUUCUUUGUAAAUUUUGUAAUGGUUGAUCAAUCAAUGUAAACAUUUCUCCUUUUACUUCUUUCUGAAGUUCUCCAUCCGUCCCAAAUUAUACGUCGUUUUAGAUUUUCUAAAUAUUAUCAUGCAUCUAGAUAUAUGGUAUAUCUAGAUGCAUAACAAAAUCUAUGAAUGUAAAAAAGACUAAAACGACCUAUAAUUUGAAAUGGAAGGAAUACUUAAUUUUGCGUGCUAACUCGUUAAGAACUAUGAAAUGUAAAUUCAAAAUGGCACCCGUCCUCAUUUUAUCCUCAAGGACAAGACACUGGACACCAUUUUUUUUUAGCUCAGUAAAUUGUCCAACCUAGUGGUGGUACGUUGCAAGAUCUCAUUUGCAAGGCAAGAAUUUUCUCGACUUUUACAUGAAUCAGAAUUGAAAUGUCUUCAGGAAAACCCUUGUGAAAUCCCUGCGCUUGUGAAUUCUCUCCAACUCGCCUAAUUUUUGCCCAAAGCCAACUCCUCGAUCUUUCGAUCCAGGCCCCGCAUCGCACACCACACACCACUCCACUCCCCACCUCGCCUCCGGCGAUGGCCGGCCGCGUCCCGGGCGCCGCCGCGUCCUCGCCCCUCCCCCGCGCGCUCCUCCUGCUCGCCGCGCUCGGGCUCUUCACCCUAUCCUUCCUCUCCCUCCGCUCGCUCCGCCCCGCCGCGGGCCCCUCGCUCGCCACCGCCACGGCCUCCUCGCUCGCCGCCGCCGCCGCCGACAAGCCCCGCCCUGGCCUCCCGCUCCGGACCUCCUCGUCGGUGUACCACUCCCCCGAUGCGUUCGCGGCGGGGUACGCGGAGAUGGAGCGGAGCUUCAAGGUGUACAUCUACCCGGACGGCGACCCCAAGACGUUCUACCAGACGCCGCGGAAGCUCACGGGCAAGUACGCCAGCGAGGGGUACUUUUUCCAGAACAUCCGCGAGAGCCGCUUCCGCACCGACGACCCCGACGAGGCGCACCUCUUCUUCGUGCCCAUCUCGCCCCACAAGAUGCGCGGCAAGGUCGAUCACCUCCCUCCCUCUCUCUUCAGUCCCUUGGAACUCUAUUGUUCGUUUCAUCGCGCUGUACAACAGUAAUAAUGCUAUUAGUUGUUGGAGGCAUUGGGUUAAUGUUGAACUGUUCUUAUCAUGUCCAAAACCACUUUGUGGUUUGUGGCCCAUGUCAAGGUUGGCAAAUGCUAAAUUUCGCCUCAUAGGAGUAGGGUUAUUUCGUUAUCUAUAAAGAGGAGUAGGGUUAUUCUGAAUUUUGUAGCUGAAUGUGGAGUGUAGUUAAGAUCACCUUGAUUGAACUAUGAUACUGCUGCUAAAGUUUGGACUAUCAGUGCUUUGUUUAUCUGUAUGAAUGUACAAUGUGAUUACAUACCUGAAAUCUGUAUGUUGGUUCAGUUUGCACUUGUAAUGGGUUCUUGGAGUAUUGUUGAUUAAUGUGUUCCUAUGCUGCAGGCCUGCAGCAGCAAAAGUUAGUAAUGUGUUCUGGAUCAAUGUGCUUACUAUUUACAUUUUUUUUAAAAAAAAAUCUGGUCUUGAUUCAAGGCCUUGGUAUUUACUUAGGUGUGUUGUUUUUGGCCUUUGCAGGGUACAUCAUAUGAGAAUAUGACGGUGAUAGUUAAGGACUAUGUAGAAGGAUUGAUAAACAAGUAUCCUUACUGGAACAGGACACUAGGCGCAGACCACUUCUUUGUCACCUGCCAUGAUGUAGGUGUUAGAGCAUUUGAAGGACUUCCAUUCAUGGUGAAAAACUCUAUUAGAGUUGUAUGUUCGCCGAGCUAUAAUGUUGACUUUAUACCGCACAAGGAUAUUGCUCUUCCUCAAGUACUACAACCAUUUGCUCUACCUGAAGGAGGAAAUGAUAUUGAGAACAGGUUAAUGUUUGUUCAUACAAAUACCAUGAAAACUUGCUAUUAUGUUUCCGUACGAUACUUGUGCUUAUAUGGUCAUGCAAAGUGAAAAUUCUGAUUCAGAUGAAAAGCUAUGUGGAAUGCACCCAGUUGUCUCCUUAUUCAUGCAUUGAAGUGUAUAUAGGUUCACACUAUCCAUUGCUACGAUCUAGUGCAAAGAAACACUUUCGUUGUAACAAAACUGAAAGUAGCGCACAACCAUGCACUGGCCAAGGGCUUUAGUUCUUUGCAAAAAAAAAUUAAUUCAAAAUAUAAUGCUUGCCUGUAGAUUUAAUGUUGGUUUCUCUUCUUUUUCCUAUUAACCUUUCAUCUCUUUAUUAUUUAUGGGUAAACAUUCACACCACUGUUCUCUGGCAUAUUCCUAAGACUAGCACCAUUGCUGCUUGCUUCUAUUGUUCUCAGUUUCACUAACUCCUCAAUUCCCAUGUCCAAUCAAUCUCAUAAAAAGAAGGUUAGUUGGAUUCAUGCCAUUACAAUUUUCAAGAAUUGGAAAUUUGCCAUCGGUUGUGUCACUGACAGGUGGGGGCCACCUCAGUCACUGACAAUGGCAUUAUUCAAAUAUUUGAAAAUUGUAAUGGCAUGCAUGGAAUUAUUCCUAAAAAGAAACAGAGGGAGUACAUUGUACAAAUCUAGCUGCACUAUUGCUCUAUUACAAAAUUUGCAUCUUAGAACUGAUUUUGCAAUUGAACAGGACAAUUCUUGGAUUUUGGGCUGGUCAUCGCAAUUCCAAAAUAAGAGUUAUUUUGGCACGAUUCUGGGAGAACGACACAGAGCUUGCUAUCAGCAACAAUCGGAUUAGUAGAGCUAUCGGGGAGCUAGUUUAUCAGAAGCAGUUUUACCGUACUAAGUUCUGUAUCUGUCCUGGUGGCUCUCAAGUUAACAGUGCUCGUAUAUCUGACUCAAUACACUAUGGUUGUGUUCCUGGUUAGUAUUUCUACUAAUUGACAUGUAAAAUACAUCACUGUUAUAUCUAUUUCAUUUUCAUGGGAAUACAAUUAUUUUAGUACUUGCCUGAUGAUUUUGUUCUAAUACAUAUUCUUCUGUCCUUUUAGUUAUUUUGUCAGACUAUUAUGACUUGCCUUUCAAUGAUGCCCUUGACUGGAGAAAGUUUGCGGUUGUACUUAGGGAGAGAGACGUGUAUCAACUAAAGAGUAUUCUGAAAUCUAUAUCACAGGAGGAGUUCGUUUCAUUGCACAAAUCUCUGGUCCAGGUUUGUUGAUUCUGAACAAUUGCUAACUCUUACUUUCUUCUUUGCAUUCACUGUCCUACAAAAGAGUAUUUGGGAUUUUCUUUAUUAAAUUUUGGUGUGAUAGAAAAAACGAUCUAUUGGGUGGCAAGAUAGCAAAUUAUUUGUCAGUAGAAAAUUAGCUACUCUGGGGUUUAUUUGUGUGAGAGCUCCGAGUCAAUUUGAGACAACUAGAAAGUAGAAACCUAACUAAAUUCUCGUUUAGUGCUGUGCUAACUGCUUAAGUUGGAUUACAGGUGCAGAAACACUUUGUGUGGCAUUCACCUCCUCUCUCAUAUGAUGCAUUCCACAUGGUUAUGUACGAACUGUGGUUGCGGCAUAAUGUGAUCAAGUACUGAAGCCUACAUUAGUGAGUUUUGAUUGCUAACCCAAACGACUGAUCCAUCAGAAAGAUACUGCCAAGUCUGACAGCCUGCUGGUGCUACCUUGAAUGCGGCCCAUUUGUUCUUUUUCUCUUAGAAUCUCCAGCUGGAUGAAUCAUUGAAUAUAAUGAGUAGCUAGUUAGCUACGCAUGUUGCAAUGGAGAGCAUCUGCAUGAAAGUAGGCCAGACUCCCAGUUAAUAGAUGGAUGAGUUAAUUCUUUCAACGAUAGUUGGUUUCCACAUAUUGCAAUCCUUUUCCUCUAGUUAUUUUUGUAUUUCAUAGAUCUGAUCUGCCUGGUUGAUCACAUGUGGUUUCUCAUACAAUUUUUGUGUUCAGUCUUGUAAGUAAUGUACAAUAUUAUUGAUGAUAUCAGAAUUUAUUCUAAUCUGACAGAACAGAUAGCUGUGAGUUGUGUCUGAAGAAAAGUCUGGUUCUAUGGCCCGUUUUUUGAAUUAGAGUAUUUUCAGUUAAACUCAUUGGUACUUGGUAGAUUUGAACCUUGGGGUACAAGCUGGAGGCACAUACAAAUAUUUUAGUUUAAGGGGUGAACUGCGAAGGUGUGCCACCAUAGUUUUGCCUAAUUCUAGCACUAGCCAAUUUCUUGGACCCUAUAUGCAGGAUGAUUAUCCAUGUAAUGUUGCAAAGGCCAUGUCCACCCGAGACCAAUGACUUGUAAAAUAUUGGAGUUCCAUCAGGUCAUCACAAUCACAUUAUAGAAAGAACAUAUGAAUCUGCAGUUUUGCAUCGGUAAUUCAGUAUGCAAGAUGCCUAUGCUAAACUUUAGGUAUUGCUAGUAAUGGAGAAUUGCAGACAUAGCUAUUAUUACAGAUUAUAAUAUUGCAAUAACGGUUCAAAAUAAGCAGACAGCCAUAGCUUCCCAGGUGAACCAUUGUAAGUCUUUCAUACAACAUGGACUUGUCAGUAGUAAAUUAUUGAUGUUUCCUUGUUGAGUGCACAAACAUGAAACAUAUCAUCACGGAACUCAACAUUUCUUUCAUACAGAGGUGGUAUUUGCGCAAUGAUGCAGUAUCAGCUGGCAUGAUACCAUAUCACUUUCAGCAGUAGCACCACGUGAUCACUUCAUAAGGAUGCACCUGAUUGGUGAGCCAUCACAUCCGAUCAGUCUGAGAGGUAAGCAGUGCAACAUGUAUAUUCCAGCCUUUACAUGAUCUAGUUUCAGACCUUCUAUUGGGAUCAUGUCCUGAGAGAAACAAAGCAAUCAAUGAUUCAAAUGCAUAAAGUUGUUAGAUGACACAGUCCAUUCCUAUGCAUGAUGUAAAAUGUACUUUGGAGAAGCAGAAAGGUAAAAGUAAGCAAGGAUAAUCCCAAAAGGGUUAGUUGACAUGGAAUUUAGAGCCAAUACUUAGCUAAGCUUGUCAACUUCAAUAAUGUAAUGGCAUGUUUUUGAGUUACAUAGAAUGAUGUGAUUGGCAUGGAAGUAUUAUAGAAUUCUUACCGGUCUAUUUAAAAAGACCAAAUGGGCUGGAAUCAAGUAAUCAAAUGCUGCAAAUGAUAGAUAGUCAACCCCUGCAUAAUUGCCAUAUCAGUAAGUUGAUUAUAUUUAUUGAUUCACCAAAUAACAAAGACCAAACAAAAAACAAAUUAUCCACAAUUACAAGCUCCAAGAAAACAAUUUGUUGAGCCCUCAACUCUAGAUCAAGAUUAGAAAAAAGUUACAAACACAUGGCUAUCAGCACAUAAGAGACACCAAGACCCAUUCAGAGUAUUACUGAUGAUCUGAUAGUGCAGUACAUAUGUGCUGUUAGGGGAAUAAUUUCUUACCGACUAGCUUGAUGUCAGUGUUAUCAAGUAGCCACUGUGCACCAUCCUCUGUAAACCCAACAAAACUCGUGUCAAUUUCCUUCGUCCACAUCAGCUUCCUGGAAACCAUUCAGUUCUACUUUCAGUUGUCAACAAAAUAGCUGUAUAAUGAUAGCUGAAUGUUGAAAAAUUUUGUCCUGGAAAAAGAGUAGACCUGUCUGUGUUCAGUGUCCUGAAGAGAACCCGACGAACUCCUUUGGGGAUAUUUAGGGAUUCCAUUGCUUGGGCUGUGUCCAGUAAGUGAGAUUACUAUGUUUUCCCAUGAUCCCUUGAAAUCCCAAAAGAAAUGACCACUUGCUACUAAAUGCUGGUAAUGAUGGCCUGUUCACUUCAGCUUAUUCAGCCGGCUUAUCAGCCACCAAAUAGUAUUUUUCUCUCACAACAAAUCAGUCGUUUCAGCUUUUCAGCCGGCUUAUAAGCUGAAGCGAACAGGCCGAUGUCUGAAUCUCUAUUAGUUUAUAAUUAAUAUAGGAGCAAGAGUUGGGAAUAAGUUCAUUUGACAUACGAGCUAGUUUGAUGAUAUACUGUAAUGCAUGAUACCUGUUAUAUUUGUGUCUCUUGGAACAUCAAUGAGCAAUGCAGGCCCUGUCCAGAAAAGGAAAAUCACGCACUGUCAAAUCAUUCUUUUGCGAGAACCACAUAGAUUUUAAUCAAUUCUUACAUGCAGAAUGCUGUGCAUUUUAGAUCUGUUCAGAAUGCAGAAAUUUCCUGUGAUCAGAUAGCUGUAUUUAUCGAUUCCUAUAAAAUUCAUGUGAUAUUCCUGCUUUCUGUAUGGGGCAGAAACAACUGAAGAACAGUAGUUUAACCUGACAAUAUGACCUACAGUUAAAAAACGUCCAAGUUCUUUUUAGGGGGGGAAAAGAGAAAGGUUUAGACCAUUGAACGUCUAGUUCUUUUCAGGGGAAAAAAAGGGAAAGGUUUGGACCCGUAUUGGACUCUCUAGCUGGAUUCAUAAGACCAGUCUCAGUGGACUGAGAAGGUUUGAUUAAGAGUUUCAUGAUUAUGGCACCUCAGAAUUUUUGCUGACGUGGCAGUCAGCGGCAAGAUCAUUAUGAGAAGAGAUGAGAUGGAGUUUCAUCAUAAUAUGAGACGAGUUUCGUCCCUGUAGAACCUAGCAGUCACAGUUACCAAGAUUGGCCUGUAUCAUAAAACUAUGCACUGAGAUUGGCACCAGAAUUAAUCUGCAUUUUGCGAACCAGAAAUUAAUCUGGAACCGCUGGGACUCACCGUUGAGGACGUCGAGGUCGAGCUUGUCGACGUCCAAGCCGGCCUCGAAGUGCUCCUGCACCAUAUGGCCCGGCGCAUCGACGUGGGUCCCGGAGUGCACCAGCAUCCGCAGCUCCGACACGUUGUUGAUGGACCCGUUGGCCAUGGACUCCGUGAGCUGGGUCACCGGGCCCAGCCCGUCCCGCCCGGGCGCCGGCAGCUCCGGCCGGUACGCGUGCGUGAUGUCGAUGAUCCGCCCGCCGCCGUGCUCCUCCAGCCUCACCUCCGCGCCGCCAGAGGCCGGGCCGAAGGUGCUGGCGGCGUCCGCGUACGCCGGGUGGGCGGCGCCGCCGCCGGUGGCCCCGGCGACGAGAACGCCGGGCGCCAGUGUCGCGGCGACCGAUAGGAGCAUCAGCAUCAGAGGAGCAGCAGACAUGGCCGGUCGCAGUUCAGAUUGGCAAGAGGAAGAUGAGUGGCAAAUGAGCAGCUGCCCACACCCACGGCUUCUUGGGGACUCUUCAGCGGAAGGACAAACACCGACCGUUUCAUUCUACAGUAUAGUCUUUAACAAAUUGUUGCACACGUCAGAUAUGAUGGCGACAAGCCGAUAAUUAUGUCCUGCAAACCAACCGAUGAGCAGCAACUUGAUGCCACCAAUCGAUAUUCUUUCAGCGACUGCGACGCCGGAGGUCGGAGGAGAAGGGAAGAGGUUUUUUUCUAGUAAAAACUUGUAGCAAUCGUCAGAACAGAUUUGGUGACAACUAACCAGUAGCUAGUUGCCAAAAUUUCAGGCAUGAUCAAAGUUUCAAAAGGUUAUGUGGGGCUCUAAAUUCAAACCUGAACACAACUAUUGCCAUCGUUAUAUUCUGAUAACCUUCUUGGGGGCAGUAGCUUCUGAAUUUUCAGGCUAAUCGUAACUAGAAAUUUGGGAGGAGAGUACAAGCUGCUUGACAACCCUAAGAAAUUUUAAGGCUCUAUUGGGAUUUGACAGGGACCCAAAUCCUUGAGAUCUCAAGUUCGAGCCAGCUGUUCUUACACCACAGACUUACCCACAGCUUACUUUUACAUUACCACGACAGAAAUAUUGCUGUUGCUUUAUUUAUACUCCCUCCAUCCUUUAAUAUAUGACGUUGAUUA